rnacentral:rRNA from 1 species
GGGUUGUGAGGUUAAGCGACUAAGCGUACACGGUGGAUGCCCUGGCAGUCAGAGGCGAUGAAGGGCGUGCUAAUCUGCGAUAAGCGCCGGUAAGGUGAUAUGAACCGUUAUAACCGGCGAUACCCGAAUGGGGAAACCCAGUGUGACUCGUCACACUAUCAUUAACUGAAUCCAUAGGUUAAUGAGGCGAACCGGGGGAACUGAAACAUCUAAGUACCCCGAGGAAAAGAAAUCAACCGAGAUUCCCCCAGUAGCGGCGAGCGAACGGGGAGGAGCCCAGAGCCUGAAUCAGCAUGUGUGUUAGUGGAAGCGUCUGGAAAGGCGCGCGAUACAGGGUGACAGCCCCGUACACAAAAGCGCAUGUGCUGUGAGCUCGAUGAGUAGGGCGGGACACGUGGUAUCCUGUCUGAAUAUGGGGGGACCAUCCUCCAAGGCUAAAUACUCCUGACUGACCGAUAGUGAACCAGUACCGUGAGGGAAAGGCGAAAAGAACCCCGGCGAGGGGAGUGAAAAAGAACCUGAAACCGUGUACGUACAAGCAGUGGGAGCACCCUUUGGGGUGUGACUGCGUACCUUUUGUAUAAUGGGUCAGCGACUUAUAUUCUGUAGCAAGGUUAACCGUAUAGGGGAGCCGUAGGGAAACCGAGUCUUAACCGGGCGUUAAGUUGCAGGGUAUAGACCCGAAACCCGGUGAUCUAGCCAUGGGCAGGUUGAAGGUUGGGUAACACUAACUGGAGGACCGAACCGACUAAUGUUGAAAAAUUAGCGGAUGACCUGUGGCUGGGGGUGAAAGGCCAAUCAAACCGGGAGAUAGCUGGUUCUCCCCGAAAGCUAUUUAGGUAGCGCCUCGUGAAUUCAUCUCCGGGGGUAGAGCACUGUUUCGGCUAGGGGGCCAUCCCGGCUUACCAACCCGAUGCAAACUGCGAAUACCGGAGAAUGUUAUCACGGGAGACACACGGCGGGUGCUAACGUCCGUCGUGAAGAGGGAAACAACCCAGACCGCCAGCUAAGGUCCCAAAGUCAUGGUUAAGUGGGAAACGAUGUGGGAAGGCCCAGACAGCCAGGAUGUUGGCUUAGAAGCAGCCAUCAUUUAAAGAAAGCGUAAUAGCUCACUGGUCGAGUCGGCCUGCGCGGAAGAUGUAACGGGGCUAAACCAUGCACCGAAGCUGCGGCAGCGACACUGUGUGUUGUUGGGUAGGGGAGCGUUCUGUAAGCCUGUGAAGGUGUGUCGUGAGGCAUGCUGGAGGUAUCAGAAGUGCGAAUGCUGACAUAAGUAACGAUAAAGCGGGUGAAAAGCCCGCUCGCCGGAAGACCAAGGGUUCCUGUCCAACGUUAAUCGGGGCAGGGUGAGUCGACCCCUAAGGCGAGGCCGAAAGGCGUAGUCGAUGGGAAACGGGUUAAUAUUCCCGUACUUGGUGUUACUGCGAAGGGGGGACGGAGAAGGCUAUGUUGGCCGGGCGACGGUUGUCCCGGUUUAAGCGUGUAGGUGUGUGUUCCAGGUAAAUCCGGUUCACUUUAACACUGAGGCGUGACGACGAGGCACUACGGUGCUGAAGCAACAAAUGCCCUGCUUCCAGGAAAAGCCUCUAAGCAUCAGGUAACAUCAAAUCGUACCCCAAACCGACACAGGUGGUCAGGUAGAGAAUACCAAGGCGCUUGAGAGAACUCGGGUGAAGGAACUAGGCAAAAUGGUGCCGUAACUUCGGGAGAAGGCACGCUGACACGUAGGUGAAGUGAUUUACUCACGGAGCUGAAGUCAGUCGAAGAUACCAGCUGGCUGCAACUGUUUAUUAAAAACACAGCACUGUGCAAACACGAAAGUGGACGUAUACGGUGUGACGCCUGCCCGGUGCCGGAAGGUUAAUUGAUGGGGUCAGCGCAAGCGAAGCUCCUGAUCGAAGCCCCGGUAAACGGCGGCCGUAACUAUAACGGUCCUAAGGUAGCGAAAUUCCUUGUCGGGUAAGUUCCGACCUGCACGAAUGGCGUAAUGAUGGCCAGGCUGUCUCCACCCGAGACUCAGUGAAAUUGAACUCGCUGUGAAGAUGCAGUGUACCCGCGGCAAGACGGAAAGACCCCGUGAACCUUUACUAUAGCUUGACACUGAACAUUGAGCCUUGAUGUGUAGGAUAGGUGGGAGGCUUUGAAGCGUGGACGCCAGUCUGCGUGGAGCCGACCUUGAAAUACCACCCUUUAAUGUUUGAUGUUCUAACGUGGACCCGUAAUCCGGGUUGCGGACAGUGUCUGGUGGGUAGUUUGACUGGGGCGGUCUCCUCCUAAAGAGUAACGGAGGAGCACGAAGGUUGGCUAAUCCUGGUCGGACAUCAGGAGGUUAGUGCAAUGGCAUAAGCCAGCUUGACUGCGAGCGUGACGGCGCGAGCAGGUGCGAAAGCAGGUCAUAGUGAUCCGGUGGUUCUGAAUGGAAGGGCCAUCGCUCAACGGAUAAAAGGUACUCCGGGGAUAACAGGCUGAUACCGCCCAAGAGUUCAUAUCGACGGCGGUGUUUGGCACCUCGAUGUCGGCUCAUCACAUCCUGGGGCUGAAGUAGGUCCCAAGGGUAUGGCUGUUCGCCAUUUAAAGUGGUACGCGAGCUGGGUUUAGAACGUCGUGAGACAGUUCGGUCCCUAUCUGCCGUGGGCGCUGGAGAACUGAGGGGGGCUGCUCCUAGUACGAGAGGACCGGAGUGGACGCAUCACUGGUGUUCGGGUUGUCAUGCCAAUGGCACUGCCCGGUAGCUAAAUGCGGAAGAGAUAAGUGCUGAAAGCAUCUAAGCACGAAACUUGCCCCGAGAUGAGUUCUCCCUGAGACUUAGAGUCUCCUGAAGGAACGUUGAAGACGACGACGUUGAUAGGCCGGGUGUGUAAGCGCAGCGAUGCGUUGAGCUAACCGGUACUAAUGAACCGUGAGGCUUAACCUUACAACGCCGAAG